AGAAAAAGAGGCAGAACAAAUAAAUGGACGGGAGCUCAAAAGCACAGCAAGGACUUUACUGAUUGGUUUAAAACUAGAGUAUCUAAGUUGGAAUCAGCAUCAGAGUGGUAGUUUUUUUAUUAGAUAGCAGACCUAAGCUUAUCGCCGGUUCAGUAGCAGGAUACACUGGCCAUGUUGAUGGGAGACCACGAGAAGGAAGGAUGAACCAUAAACUGUCCUUGUGAUGAUAGAUUUUGUAGUAGACACCAGUGGAAAGAGGUUUUCUUGGCAGGUUUAUAAACAUAAACUUCUAUCAAUUUUUAACCAUUUCGUAGCAAUUGGAGAUUAAGACAUAAGUAUCCUUAUUGUCAAUGGUAUAGCUGAUGGAAAGAUGUGAUCGAUAUGCACGAUGAUCGAAAAGAGGCAAUUUCCUAUGAAAUUUGGAUCAUAAAUAGAUGCACAAAACACCUUCAGUGCCAAAAUUCGGUGUUUGGGAUGAAAAGGGUCCUAAAUCAGGAGAUGGGUUCACUGUUAUCUUUAACAAAGUUAAACAAGAGAAGCAAAAUGCUGCUAGUAAGCUUCCGAGAGUUCCAAUAGAUCCAACUAUUCAUCCAAGCAAGCGUAAGAAUCGCGCAAAUCCUGCCUCAAGGUCGAAGUGGGACUUCCAUGAUAUUAUAUUUUGAAUCAUUGGCACUUGCAUAAGCCUAACGUGUGUUUGGCGAGCUCUUAAAAUUGAGUCAAGACUAAAGCUGACCAUAAAAGAGUUCUAAUGCACUGCCAGAAGCUUAUUGGAAUCUUAUGACCAGUAAGGAUUCACCGAUCAUUAAGUUCUACCCACAAGGUAGGACACUUGCUUACAAUCUCAUGCUUUUGAAAAUUCAUGUCAUGCACCAAACUUUCCUUGUAAUGACAGAUUUUGUAGUGGACACCAGUGGAAAGAGGUUUUCUUGGCAGGUUUAUAAACAUAAACUUCUAUCAAUUUUUAACCAUUUCGUAGCAAUUGGAGAUUAAGACAUAAGUAUUCUUAUUGGUAAAAUUUAUAUUUGUUCUUUCCCUCUUAUUUAUAUCAAGUAUUUAUGAUCA